UCUCAUCAGAAACAGACAAAUCCGCCAAGACUGUCCUCUAAGGCUUUCGUCUCUCUCGUCUUCAAACCUAUCCGCCAUUGACGAACUGUUUUGCUUACUCCGACGAAAGACAACCAUUUAGACUAAUAUAAGGGAAUCUCAGAUGUAUAUUAUUGGUAUUUUUCCGUAUUUGUGGUUGUUCGCUUUCGCUAUUAUUUCGCCGAAAAAAUAUUUCACCGGAAAAUUGUUUCACCGCUUCUUCUGCUUUCUUUCUCUGGUAAGAUUUCAUCUAAACUCAUUAAUUUACUAUGUCCUUUGUUUGUAUUAUAUGAUUUCGAGUUUUUGAUUUCAUCUAAACCUUGGAAUUUUUUGAUUUCUAGUUUGUAAAACUGUAAUUAUCUAGUUAGUUCGAAAAACAAGUUAAACUUUGUUUAGGGUUUUUUGAGGUAUUUUCAGUUGGAAUUUUUUAUCUGAAUAACGGGAAGGAUUUGAGUACCAAAAUACAUGGUCUGUCGUUUUAUACUAUCGGCAGACUAUACGAGCAUGGUGUUACAUUAAGGGCUUUCUUAUUAUUUAUUGCUACUUGACUCUUCGUGUUAUCGAUAUCUGUUAGUUUUAUGUGUUAUUAUUGUCUGCCCUAUUGCAUUUGCCUAAUUUCCAUGAACUUCCACUCUACAAACUUGUUCAUCUGUGUGAAGACACUCAUAGUGCACUCAAAUCCCAAUGCCGCAACUAGUUGUCUCUGUAUGUAAUUAGCUACCUCAUUACACUUUACUGAUUUUAACACCUCAUAAACAUGAACAUUUAAAUUUUCAAAAUAAACUUAGGCAAAACAGCUCUUCCAACAUUGUCCAUGUCCUUUAAUCUUAACUCACAGAAUGUAAACUCUUAGUUUAAGUUCAUAAUCAAGAACCAAUAAAAGGGGACUUGACAAAAGUAAGAACAAGGCUGCUGAUGUUGUAAAGGGGCUAUGAAGAUUGCUUUCCUUUCUAGGCUAUGUUCAGUCAUGGCAUUGAGAAGAUACCUGACUCGUAUCUUGGCAAGGCGACCCAGCUAUAUCUGCAGCCAUGGUGACGUCGCUUUCUCUCUUGCUUUGAUCUAUUGUUGUUGUUGCUGCUACCGUUCUUUUGUUCUUUCUAGAAGCAAUUAACAUUGCUUAGUUCUUUUUGUAAAUCUAGCUUCGAGAGAUACAAUUAACAUGUUGUGCUUAGUUGUUGCUGCUAGUUCUAUCUGUAAAUCUAGCCCAUGAUUUCUUGCUGGAAGAGUGUCUGAAUAUAAUCGAAGAGAAUCUGCUAGUGCCACAAUAUUCAGGAGUAGCAGACCAUGCACAAAUAAGAUCAACCACUCCUGCAACAAAAGUAAUAGAGGAACAAGUUCAGUUGGAUUCUACAACUCCUAUCGAAGAUGAACAAUGUGAAGAACAAGGAUAAAUAUGACAUUCUCAAAGUUGGAAAAAAAUACAUUUUGGAAUCUGUUCAAGCUUCUGGAGAAAGCACAAGAGUAGAUUGAAAAAAGAUCACUUUGACCCUAUCCAAAUGAUGAAACUCGAAUGCAACAUAUCCCUGAAGAUGUUCCAGUUUCUCAGUUUAAGGAACUCCUUAGGUAUUGGAACUCUGGGAAACUCCAGGUGCAGCGAUUGCGGAAGAAAGCAGUGACGAAGACUUUACUUGAGUGUUGUUGAUCGUUGUUAAACUUUCUAUUAUCAUGUUCAAAGAUAUUUUAGUUUAGAACUUUUUGUAUGCAAACUCAUCUAUUUUGACUUUUGAAUUGUUGAUCAAACAAUGUAUUCACAUUUUGUUUUUGUAUAUGAGUAAUGCUAGUUAAAUAUUUUAA